rnacentral:rRNA from 1 species
AGCAUCCAAUAGCGUAUAUUAAAGUUGUUGCGGUUAAAAAGCUCGUAGUUGGAUCUGCGGACGUGGCGAAUGGUCGCCUAAUGGGUCGUACUGUUCGCCUGUCCUAAUCGGUCUAGUUGUUCGCUAGGUGCGCUUCAUUGCGUGUCUAGGGUUGCUAGAAAGUUUACUUUGAAAAAAUUAGAGUGCUCAAAGCAGGCGUUAAAGCCUGAAUAGUGGUGCAUGGAAUAAUGGAAUAGGACCUCGGUUCUAUUUUGUUGGUUUUCGGAGCAUGAGGUAAUGAUUAAGAGGGACAGACGGGGGCAUUCAUAUUGCGACGUUAGAGGUGAAAUUCUUGGAUCGUCGCAAGAUGGACUACUGCGAAAGCAUUUGCCAAGAAUGUUUUCA